rnacentral:lncRNA from 1 species
GCAAACCAAAAGAAAUGAUGAUGAAAGAGAAGAAUGGGCAAAUAAAAACCUUUAUGUUCCCCAAAUAGAGUGUGGGCGACCAUGUUGUGAGCCAUUAAAAUCACCAUCAAGUCUUGAGAGAUUGGGGUGACCUCCAUCCCUCUAGAACCCACAAAUAACUCUAAUGGCCAUAAUGUUCCGACGACAAUCCCUACAAGUGGAAAACAGCAGUUCAAAAACAUUCUAGAAAAACGAGGGCUUUUGGGUCAUUUUGAAGUGAUCAGAAAUAAAUAACUGGAAGAUGCUUGCUUACACACUCUCUUUAGUUACUUACUUUUGGGGCAAUUUGCUACCCUUUUAUCUUUUCCCUUCAAU